UGGGAGGUCCUCGCCUCUCUGUGGUUUGCCGAGUCGGGGCCUCCAGCGAAGCGGGAAGCUGCGCAGGUGCGAGAGCUGCGCGCUACGGACCUCCAACCCCAGUGUAUGCGCGGGCGCGGGGCGGGGGCGCGCGGGGGCGCUGUGCUCGCACAUCUAGACCGUAUCCCGAAGGGCUUCGGCAAACGUCUGUUUCGCAGAAUUCAUCAGUAUGAAAUUUGUACCCUUAUUUGACAUUUGUUGCCAAACGAACCAAGUGUAUGUUCUACGUAAAAAUGUCCCCUUUAAAUUACUAAAGUCUGAAGAAUAUUCUGGCCCAUCGGAGAGUUCACCUGAGAGCAAAAUCUGUACCGGAGCAAGUACAGAUGGAAAGAAAACAGAGGAAGCCCUGUCGAUGUGACUGGCAUGUCGCUCAUGGGAAAUGCUCCAGGAGAAUGAGCGCUGGGCGAGGUUUGUGGGGUUCUCUUAAGCCCUCACUGGGGGAAUCCUCUGAGUGUUGAAACCGGCUCCUAACAGAGCCUCAAGCUGUUGUCCUGGAUAGAGUGUUGUGGCAUCACAGCUCACAGCAACCUCCAACUCCUGGGCCCAAGCGAUUCUCCUGCCUCUGCCUCCCAAGUAGCUGGGACUACAGGCACCCGCCACAAUGCCCGACUAUUUUUUUUUUUUUUUUUUUUUGGUUGCAGCUGUUACUGUUGUUUGGCGGGCUCUGGCUGGAUUCGAACCCGCCAGCUCAGGUGUAUCCGAGCCCUUACCCCUAAAUCUUGAGGUGGUGCAAUGCCGUGAGGUAUCAAAACUUCAGGGGUACUACACAAAAGAAAUAAUUUGAAAUACUGCUCCCAAUAUUGAGCAUGUGAACAAUUUCUUUGUUAUUCAAGUGGUUUCUUAUUCUUUCUCUCCAAUAGAAUGAGAAGAGGGCCUGAUUGUUAGGUUGGCCAAGCUUAUUCCAUUUUAGAUCUGAAAAACCCAUUCUGUGAGACGCUGUUACAGGUGGUCCUCAUUCAGGUAAGAGAGACUCAUGUCCUUGUACCUAUCCAGUUACAAACCCAUAAGAAAUAUGCCCUCACCACAAGCUUCUGACACUCUGAUAAGAAGAGCCGGCCCAGAGAGUACCAAUAAUGAGCUGCAUGUCCUUGGCACCCUGAUAAGAAAGACUUGUGUAAAAAAAAAAAAAAGAAAGACUUGUGUGUAAAGCCAGCUGCUCUUCAACCUGCUAUAAAUAAGAACUGCCUCUUUCCCUAAUGCUGCUGACAUCUCUUUAGAUUUCAGCCCGCUUAUAAGGUAUAAAAUAAACUUCCCUGGUAUGUUUGCUAUGUCUGGUCUCUUGUAUUGUUUUUUUGUUUGUUUGUUUGUUUUUGUAGAGACAGAGUUUCACUUUAUCGCCCUCAGUAGAGUGCCAUGGUGUCACACAGCUCACAGCAACCUCCAACUCCUGGGCCUAGGUAACUCUCCUGCCUCAGCCUCCCAAGUAGCUGGGACCACACGCACCCGCUACAACGCCUGGCCAUUUUUCUGUUGUAGUUUGGCUGGGGCCGGGUUUGAACCCACCACCCUCGGUAUAUGGUGCCGGCGCCCUACCCACUGAGCUACACGCGCCACCCAGGUCUCUUGUGUUUUGAUUUGGGCCUCAUUUCAACUGUCACUGAUCAAGUUGUCAGCAGCCAAGAAAACCAUUUCUGUUGAGAAAUCACCAUUUUGUUUUGUUUUGUUUUUUUGAGACAGAGUCUCAAGCUGUCACCCUGGGUAAAGUGCCGUGGCAUCACAGCUCAUAGCAACCUCCAGCUCCUGGGCUCAAACAAUUCUCCUGCCUCUGCCUCCCAAAUAGCUGGGACUAUAGGCGUCCACCACAACGCCCGGCUAUUUUUUGGUUGCAGCCGUCAUUGUUGUUUGGGGGGCCCAGGCUGGAUAUGAAUUCACCAGCUCAAGUGUAUGUGGCUGGCGCCAUAGCCGCUUGAGCCACAGGCGCCAAGCCGAGAAAUCACCAUUUUUGGUAAAUAAAAUUGACAUUGCUAUAACUAUAUUCCUUUCAACAUCAUCUAAUUUAUGAGAGCAGGAUUUUUCAACAUUUACAUCUAUAAAAACAAAAGUAGGAAUAGAUUUAAUACUUCAUUGUAGUAAUAAGUAAUGUCCAUCUACUGAGAAAAACAAGACAUCAUCUCAAGAGAUAAAUUUCAAAUAAAAAUAACUGUCUGUUAAUCACAGGUAAGAGUUGUUAAAAAAGCCAGGUGCGGUGGCUCACGCCUGUAAUCCCAGCAUUCUGGGUGGAUUGCCUGAGUUCAGGAGUUCAAGACCAGCCUGAGCCAGAGGGAGACCCCCUGUCUUUAAAAAAAAAAAAAGAGUUGUUAUAUAUUUAUCUUUUGAUCAGUUGUGAACUACUAAUAAGGGUAACACACAAGAGAAUUGUUUUAACAUUUAAAGCCUUAUAUUUGUAAAAAAUAAGAAAUUGAUUACUUUUCAGUUUGUAUAUAAUUUUUUUUUUUUUUUUUGAGACACAGUCUCACUAUGUUGCUCUUGGUAGAGUGUUGUGGCAUCACAGCUCACAGCAACCUCCAACUCUUAGGCUUAAGCAAUUCUCUUGCCUUAGCCUCCCAAGUAGCUGCGUCUACAGGCGCCCCCCACAAUGCUCGGCUAUUUUUUGGUUGCCGUUGUCAUUGUUGCUUAGCUGGCCUGAGCUGGUUCAAACCCGCCGCCCUUGGUGUAUGUGGCUGGCGCCGUAACCACUAUGCUACGGGUGCCGAGCCAGUUUGUAUAUAAUUUUUGUGCAGAGAAUUUUGCUUGGUCAAGAAAAAGCUUUUAAACAUAAAAAGUAUUGCAUUAAGUAAAAUUCCAUGGGAAGAGUGGAAUAGAUUUGAGGUGAGGGGGGGAGUGUCAAAUUCCCAUUAAGAAACUGUUCAGGUAUAUUUUUAAACUUUUUCUUAUAGAAAAUCUUGCUCAUCCCCAAGCUUCAGUAAUUGUAAUAAAGUACCAAUCUGUUUCAUCUACAGUCUCAGAAUCCCUCCUGAUUAUUUUGAAGCAAAUGCCAGAUAUAACUGAAUGCCUUGCUAGUAAACCAUCUAACAGAAAAAAAAAAAAGGAAGAAAUCACUGCAUAUAACUGCCCAUUGUUUGCUUUACUUGUGACUUAACUUCUUGUCUUUAUGAGUUUGUCUUAGCAACUCUUGAAGAGUACUGAGCAGCCAGAAAGGGAACAGCUUUCCCCACAUCCACCAGACCACAUCCCGAGGAGACCAAGAAAGCCAGCCUAGCAGAGAAAAAGAAGCAAACACAGCCACCUUCAUUAUCAUUUUGCACCAGAAACCAUUUUUUACCCUUUAUAACUCCAAUAAAAGCUCAAGCCAAAGAAGUGGGGUCAGCACUGCUUUCUUUCAUGUCGUGCCCUUUCCUCCCUUAGAAAGUAAACAUUUUGCUUCAAACCUAUCCUAAACUUUGAGUUGAGAAUUCUUUCUCAUCAUGUGGUAAGAGUUCCCAUCCUAACAAUAAUGUCAUUUAUUUGUAAAUGUUUCUGUAUAAUGCCUAUGAUAAGGAUUCUAAAAAUACUUAAAACAUCACCUAAAAAUAUGGAAUAGAAACUAUUUAAUAUUAUGUAUCAAGCCAGCAGUCACAUUUCCCUGACUGCCUUAUACAUUUUAA